rnacentral:lncRNA from 8 species
AAAUCAGCAGCUAUUGGACACAGUGACACUCCCCCUGGAAAGGCCUGAAACAUGGCACACAUCCAGAAGAAGACCAGCACCAUGUCCCUGACCAUCUCCAGCUCCUCCAAAGCAAUCUCCUCUUCCUCAUCCUCCAUUGUGGUCCAGCAGCAGAGACAGUCCAGCCUGGUGCAGCCCCUCUGCAUCAGCCCCCAGAGGACACAGAGUCCAUCCUACCCCAGACAGUAUUCAGGAGGUGGUGGCGUUGCCCCAACCUUUGUCGAGGUAAAAAAAAAAAAAAUACAGGAUACAUCUUUACUCCCAUCUGGUGACUGAAUAUGGAACUGAAGGUUUAGGUUGGGUUGGCACUAUAUACAUUUCAUGAAGGAUCCUUCCUCCUUAUAUCAGUGUGUCCAGUGGCCUGAUCCUUGCCAUUCAAAUGGAUUUACACCUACUCUAUAUCCUUAUGACGUCCUAGGCAGUUAUCCGAAUAUGACACAGCU